rnacentral:lncRNA from 1 species
UCACAUAUGGUCAGUUACAUUUCUUGAAUGUGGCCCUGUGAGCAUUCCCAACGAAUAAACACCAUCUCUUUCUUUUCCAGAUCCCCCUAAGAACACCUCAGUUUCCGUCGAGCCCCCCGGUCCAGUGCAGGACGGCAGCUCUGUGACUCUGACCUGCACAACCGUCGCCAAUCCAGCAGCGGUUAACUUCACCUGGUUCCGAGUGGUGGGCAGAGAAAAUGAGCCGGUGGGCUCUGAGCGAGACUUCACCUUCAACGUGACCAAACUCUCAGAGGAUCAGUUUUACUGCGAAGCUCUGAACGUCCACGGAGCUGAACUCUCAGAGCCUGCCAGUUUCGACGUCACAUUUGCUCCAGAGAUCCUGCUUUCCUCCCGCUGCAUCAAGAUUUUAUCCCAGGUCCGAUGUUCCUGUGACAGCCAGGCGAACCCCCCUCCCUCCCUGCUUUGGGAGUUAGCCGGAGAGCCUGUCAAUCACUCUGCGGACAUCCCGAUCCAGGAAGUUCCCCUGGGAGACCUGAGCAUGAGGAGCGUCAUCACCUUGUACCGCCUGGACGAACACAUGCCCUCUCUCGUCUGCGUCAGCAUCAACUCGCUGGGCUCUGAUAGUGUUGUGUUCAACGUGACCGCCAGUGAAACUCAGCUAGGUAGAGGAAUGUUUGAAGUGUUGCAUUUACACUUGGCUUUUCUUCUGUGUGAUCUGCCCCUCCUUGGUUUGACUGAUGGAUGAAAUGGUUUGUCGGGACUUUUCAGGUCUCCACACUGUGUCUCUGUUGAUCGGCUCUGCAGUAGGAGCUCUGGGGAUGCUGCUGGUGUGUGUCCCGCUGCUGCUUUUCUACUGCAGGAAAAGGAAAGGCAGCCUUUCACCUGACAAGGGACCGGUGGACACUUCGGACAUUUUAGCUAAUGGGAAAAGCUCUUCACCAGUGGAUGUGAUCUAUGCCAAUGCAGCCAUUGUAGAACAGGAAGCUGCAGCUAACGAGGACUCUAUCCACUACGCCAACGUGACUUUUGCUAAACUCCAGGCCAACUCAGAGAGCAAGCUCAGUGAGGGCGAGAUCCGAGGCCUGGACUCCAAGACCGGGGAGUACGCUCAGAUCCGUUUGAAGCCCAAGGAACGCAGGGGAGGAGAUGCAACAAAUGGAGAGACAGCUGCUGAUACUCAUCUGGGUCAAGAGAAAGACACUGAUGGUCUCAUAGGACAGGUCAGUGAAAAGGUUUUGGCUUAA